rnacentral:rRNA from 1 species
GACGUAGGUGGCGAACGUUAUCCGGAAUUAUUGGGCGUAAAGGAUGCGUAGAUGGUGUAGUAAGUUAUCGGUGGCAAAUCGAGGCUCAACCUCGUGGAAGUCGGUAAUACUGCUAUGCUAGAGGAUAGGAGAGGUUAACGGAACUCCCUGUGGAGCGGUGAAAUGCGUAGAUAUAGGGAAGAACACCAAUCAGGCGAAGGCAGUUAACUAUUCUAUUCCUGACAUUGAGGCAUGAAAGCGUGGGGAGCAAAACGGGA